AUUGAAUGCUGGCGGCAGGCCUAACACAUGCAAGUCGAGCGGAUGAAGGGAGCUUGCUCCUGGAUUCAGCGGCGGACGGGUGAGUAAUGCCUAGGAAUCUGCCUGGUAGUGGGGGAUAACGUCCGGAAACGGGCGCUAAUACCGCAUACGUCCUGAGGGAGAAAGUGGGGGAUCUUCGGACCUCACGCUAUCAGAUGAGCCUAGGUCGGAUUAGCUAGUUGGUGGGGUAAAGGCCUACCAAGGCGACGAUCCGUAACUGGUCUGAGAGGAUGAUCAGUCACACUGAAACUGAGACACGGUCCAGACUCCUACGGAAGGCAGCAGUGGGGAAUAUUGGACAAUGGGCGAAAGCCUGAUCCAGCCAUGCCGCGUGUGUGAAGAAGGUCUUCGGAUUGUAAAGCACUUUAAGUUGGGAGGAAGGGCAGUAAGUUAAUACCUUGCUGUUUUGACGUUACCAACAGAAUAAGCACCGGCUAACUUCGU
rnacentral:rRNA from 1 species